rnacentral:rRNA from 1 species
UACGAAGGGGCUAGCGUUGUUCGGAUUUACUGGGCGUAAAGCGCGUGUAGGCGGGCCGUUAAGUUGGGGUGGAAAGCCCGAGGCUCAACCUCGGAACUGCCUUCAAAACUGGCGGCCUGGAGCAGAUGAGAGGCGAGUGGAAUUCCGGAGUGUAGAGGUGAAAUUCGUAGAUAUUCGGAGGAACACCAGUGGCGAAGGCGACUCGCUGGCAUCUUGCUGACGCUGAGACGCGAAAGCGUGGGGAGCAAACAGG